UACGUAGGGUGCAAGCGUUGUCCGGAAUUAUUGGGCGUAAAGAGCGCGCAGGCGGUCGUGCAAGUCGCGUGUGAAAGCCCCCGGCUCAACUGGGGAGGGUCACGCGAUACUGCUCGACUCGAAGGCAGGAGAGGGAAGUGGAAUUCCCGGUGUAGUGGUGAAAUGCGUAGAUAUCGGGAGGAAUACCAGUGGCGAAGGCGGCCUUCUGGACCAAUACUGACGCUCAUGCACGAAAGCGUGGGGAGCAAACAGG
rnacentral:rRNA from 1 species